UUGCUGGCAAUGGUUUCCACCAAGCUGGACUGCCAUGCUCACUCCUACCUGAGAAGGUAGAUGAAGAAAUAAAGGGUACAAAAGGCUCAGAGGGGAGCUGUCUUGUCCUACUUGAUGUUUCCAUGUACCUCAAGCCUGGAUGACACAGUUCCUCCUUUAUUUUUUUCCUUCCCCAGCCAAGUGUUGAAUAAAGGAUUACUUUGAUUAGUCCAUGA